rnacentral:lncRNA from 1 species
GACAUAUUUUGAAGCACUAUAGUGUACAAAAAUCCAUACUUUGAAAAGCAAUAUAGAGAUCUUUAAAAAAAAGGGUACAGUUUUAUUCUUUGCUGAUAUUAAUACAGAUCUUCUGGAAGAUGCAAUCUGACUGUAAUUUCAAAUAGCAGAAUAUUUGGUCUAUGGACUAGGAUUUGUUCGAUUACUGUUACAAUGCUGAAUGUAUUUUGUAGCAGUUACUGUCAUAAGAUUGCCUACAUUAUAAUUUCUUUUGUAUAGUCUUAGCAACUGUUGUUCUUAUUUUGUACGAGUUGUUACCAUUAUAGAAGCAGUUACAUUGUCUUAUAAACAUAACAGAAUCUGUACAAUCAAAUAGGUGAUAUCUCUCCCCCACCAAAAA